rnacentral:rRNA from 1 species
GGGGGGGGGGGGGGGGGGGGGGGGGGGGGGGGGGGCGGGGGGGGGGGGGCGGGCGGGGUAGGGCGAAGGAGUGGCGGACGGGUGGGUCAUACAGCAGCAACCUGGCCACGACGACUGGGAUAAGAUCUGGAAACGGGGACGAAUACCGGAGCGGCAGUCGGCAGGCAUCUUCUAGUUAUUAACGCGUAAACACACUGGUUGCUGGGGUUGUGGCGGAUUAUUUAGUUGGAGAGGUACCCGCCCACCGAGACGAUGAUGCGUAGCCGGCCUGAGAGAGUGCACGGCCACAUUGGGACUGAGACACGGCCCAGACUCCUACGGGAGGCAGCAGUAGGGAAUUUUCGGCAAUGGGGGCAACCCUGACCGAGCAACGCCGCGUGAGUGAAGACGGCCUUCGGGUUGUAAAGCUCUGUUGUAAGGGAAGAACGGUAGAUAGAGAAUAUCUAAGUGACGGUACCUUACCAGAAAGCCACGGCUAACUACGUG